UCCUACGGGACGCAGUAGGGAAUAUUGCACAAUGGGGGGAACCCUGAUGCAGCGACGCCGCGUGGGUGAAGGAGUAUUUCGGUAUGUAAAGCCCUAUCAGCAGGGAAGAACAAUGACGGUACCUGACUAAGAAGCACCGGCUAAAUACGUGCCAGCAGCCGCGGUAAUACGUAUGGUGCAAGCGUUAUCCGGAUUUACUGGGUGUAAAGGGAGCGCAGGCGGCGCGUUAAGCCUGGUGUGAAAGCCCGCGGCCCAACCGCGGGACUGCAUUGGGAACUGGCGCGCUGGAGUGCCGGAGGGGUAGG
rnacentral:rRNA from 1 species